GAUCCUGGCUCAGAAUCAACGCUGGCGGCGUGCCUCAGACAUGCAAGUCGAACGAUUAAAGCUCUCUUCGGAGAGUGCAUAGAGUGGCGCACGGGUGAGUAACACGUAAGUAAUCUACCUUCGAGUGGGGAAUAACAUCGGGAAACCGAUGCUAAUACCGCAUAAUGCAGCGGCAUCGCAAGAUGACAGUUGUUAAAGAUUUAUCGCUUGAAGAGGAGCUUGCGGCAGAUUAGCUAGUUGGUAAGGUAAUGGCUUACCAAGGCUACGAUCUGUAACCGGUCUAAGAGGACGGUCGGKCACACUGACACUGAAUAACGGGUCARACUCCUACGGGAGGCAGCAG
rnacentral:rRNA from 1 species